GUGAAUCAUCAAAUCUUUGAACGCAAAUUGCACUCUCCUCGGAGAGUAUGCCUGUUUGAGGGUCAGCCUAAAAAAAAUCGACAUGUUUGCUGUUAGGCGGUAACAUUCGUGGGAAAUUGGGUCAUCUUAAUCCUUUUGGUUUAAGCGGCUUAAAAUUUUCUUUACGAUUCCAAUAACUUGUCUAAGUUUUUAUUUUCUUAUACUUUUAGUGUAUCUAUCUUUAUUAGAUGUGUCCUUUGUAUCGUAUCUCG
rnacentral:misc_RNA from 1 species